rnacentral:rRNA from 1 species
UACGUAGGGGGCAAGCGUUGUCCGGAAUCAUUGGGCGUAAAGAGCGUGUAGGCGGUCCGGUAAGUCGGUUGUGAAAGUCCAGGGCUCAACCCUGGGAUGCCGACCGAUACUGUCGGACUAGAGUUCGGGAAGAGGCGAGUGGAAUUCCAGGUGGUAGCGGUGAAAUGCGCAGAUAUCAGGAAGAACACCCCGUGGCGAAGGCGGUUCUCUGGGACGGUACUGACGCUGAGACGCGAAAGCGUGGGGAGCGAACAGG